CAGCUGUGAAUGUUUCACAAUCCUUUCCAAACAUUAGAACCUCGACUGCAGGGUACCAUCUCAAGAAGAAAGGAAGUACCUUGUUUUCGGAUUUGGUUUGGUUUUUCGCUUGUUUUGCUCUCUUGCUCUCAGGUCUGUUACCCACUCUUCAGAGUGGAACCAGACUUCCUCUGCACCAUGAACAGAGCCCUGGCUUAGUCCCAGGCGUCCUGCAGAACUUCUAGUGCCUUCCUCACACAGGUUGCGGGUAGGAGAUUAGAAGAACACAGCUCUGGUAUUGUAAGGAUGGAAAAGAAGUCGUGUCUGACUCCUAUCGACCCUAUAGACUAUAGGCUGUCAGCCUCCUCUGUCCACAGGAUUCUCCAGGCAAGAACACUGGAGUGGGGGGCCAUUUCCUCCUCCAGGGGAUCUUCCCGACCCAGGGACUGAGUCUGCAUCUCCUGCAUUGGCAGGCAGGUUCUUUACCACCAAGCCGCCUGGGAAGUUCCCAGUCUCCUGAGGUUCCAGCUCAAAUAAAAUCAAUGAAGCUAAUACCCUUGUUAGUUUUAGAGAUUCUACGACAGCAGUUUCAUGUCAUCAUAGAACCAUCACAAGUUGUUCCAGAUUGUGAAAUAAAUAGAAGCAAUGUCCAAGAAGGCCUGAACAGAAGUUGUUUAUCACCCCCAAAAGAGCAAGGCGAUGGAUUCGGACAAGAAGCUGCACCUCAAGACAGAAUGAAUGAGGAUGAACCAAAGGCGACAUUGCUGACAGUUCCACUUUGAGCUAAAUGAGCAGCCUUGCUUGAAGAAACUGGUUUAAGGGACUCUCACAAACCCCUGCAUUUGCCCUGAUGUCACACUGAACCUGCUCUGUACAGAAGAGCCCUCGAUCUCUCCAGUGAGUCACAGCAGUGAGACCCAAGCCUCCUCCCUUUCACUCAUUGUUCCUGGUGGCCUCUCCCUCCUGCUGGUGCUGACUACUGCUCUCCAUCUCUU
ensembl:lncRNA